GAAGGAAGAGGAAGCAGCGAUGGAGCGCGUUCCACUAACACAAAAUGAUAAAAGAGGAAUUAAUUUAGAAUUCCAGAUUUAACCUCGAGGAUAUUCCUAAAACCCGGAAUUAUCCAUCACCACCACCACCCUAUUCUGUGUUUUACCUUAAUUAACCAAACACAUGCAUUCUUUCCAUAUCCCUUUUCUCUAUCCAUCAUAGUUCCAAUUUCCUUUGGCAUAACCAUUUUAUAUUUUCCGUUCUUCUCCUUAUUCCUCUUCUUCUCUUUUCUUCACUUUCUCCCUUCAUCCAUCCUUCCCUCCUCCCUGGACCGAGUCACGCGGUCAGGAUCGGCAUGACUCGGCGGUGCUCCCACUGCAGCAACAACGGCCACAACUCCCGCACCUGCCCGUCGCGGGGGGUGGGCGCCGGCGUCAAGCUGUUCGGGGUGAGACUGACGGAUGGAUCAAUCAUAAAGAAGAGUGCCAGUAUGGGAAACCUUAACCUCGCCUCCACACACCACCAUUCUUCUCCUUCUUCUUCCAACCUUGCCGCCUCCUCUCCCAAUCCAAGCUCUCCUUGCUCUGACCCGCCCCAUGAGCCCCAAGGUUACUUGUCCGAUGACCCCGCCCAUAUCUCCACCUUCGCUAACCGCCGCGGUGAAAGAAAAAAAGGUGUUGCGUGGACUGAAGAAGAACAUAGGCUGUUCUUAAUUGGUCUCCAGAAGCUGGGCAAAGGAGACUGGCGUGGGAUAGCACGUAAUUUUGUCGUAACAAGGACCCCUACUCAAGUAGCAAGUCAUGCCCAGAAGUAUUUUAUCCGACAAAGUCAUGCUACCAGGAGAAAGAGACGUUCCAGCCUUUUUGACAUGGUUCCGGAUAUGACUUCAGAUCCACCUUCUGUGCCAGAAGAACAAGUUCUGCUUCCACCUUCUGAGAACUCGCAACCUUGUAAUGGAAAAUCGCAGCCUUCACUAAAUCUCUCCCUCAAAUCAGAAUUUGAACCCAUGGAAACUACUUCUCAAGAAAACGUGGAACAGACCAAUGAAACUAUGAUGGGAUCAAACGGACUGACAUCAAUGGCUCCUCAUGGAUUCUUCCCCACUUAUUUACCUGUUCCAUUUCCCAUAUGGCCAUCAACUGCAACUCCUUUUGAAGAAGUUAAGGGAGGAGAGACAUCCCAUCAUCAGGUCCACAGGCCAAUCCCAGUCAUUGCCAAGGAACCUGUGAAUGUUGACGAACUCGUGGGAAUGUCUCAUCUCAGCAUUGGGGAAACACAGGUACGUGAUAGAGAGCCUUCCCCACUUUCCUUAAAGUUGUUAGGGGAACCCUCUAGGCAGUCAGCAUUCCAUGCAAAUGCUCCAGUUGGUGGUUCGGAUUUAAAAACUGGCAAGAACAAAGCAAUUCAAGCGGUUUGAGCUUUUAAGGUCUGGUGAAGAUAGCAGCAGAUUUAGUCAAGCACCGGAUUGUGUUUAACAAAUCACAGAAAUAUUGUUUACUAUGAGAUCUCUCGACAAGUUCUCCCAAAGUAUAUGAUCUUGUGAUGCUUUAGUGGCCAUGCUUGUUGCUUUCAACAGUGUCGUCCACACAGUGGAUUCUGUAGAUGAUUAGUAGAAUUGAUGCUUUUGCAGAACAAGAAUAACCCCUUAAAGCCACUGAGAAGUGAGAAAGCAACCUCAGCAAAACUCUCCAAGAUUGCAUCAAUUCUCACAGGCUCGAUUAUUCGACGAUGAGAAAAGGAAAAGGAAAGGAAACAACUGCUAUGCUUUUUCAGGUGCUGUGAGUGUGUGACAUGAAAUCCAUCUCACGUCCCUUUCAAUGUCAUUGGAUCUUCCUCGCUUUAGGAAAUAGGAGAUACAGACAGUGUUUUCUAGUGGUAUGAAAAUGAUCACCAAAACAGUGCUUUCUAGUACUAAUUAAAGCUUAUUUUGUUUUGUGUAGUUAAAAACAUAUAAAGGUUAGUUGAAGACUAAUAGUUUUGCUGAGGUUGAUGAUGGUGGGAUUCUUAUCAACAUAGAAGAUAGUGAUAAGAGAAAUAAAAGAAAAA